AUGGAGGUGGAUAUGGUUCCGUUCAUAUUCGGGAGUUUCACGCGUAAGAAUAAGACGGUCUCGGAGGACAGCGGCUCGUCCAAGAGGAGGUCCUCGGAAAAUGAGACGGAACAAACGACCACACUGUCGUCCAGAAAAGCGAAAUACAGGCAGUUCAGAAUUGAAAACGGAAAGAUGCAGUGUGACGUAUGCAACCAAGAAUAUAUGCAGCCCCGGACAUUACCUUGUCUCCACAAAUUUUGCACAAAUUGUCUUAUCAGACUCACCGUUCUAUCGCAGACAUCAUCUCAACAAGUUUCUGGCAGUGAAAAUCCAGGGACAAUGGAAUCAAAUCUGGAGAGUGAAAAAUCCAGCAGAUACGGAAGUGGGAGCGGCAACCAAACGAUGGCUCAAACGGCUCUGGGUCUGGCUACGAUAGCGAGCAGGGCAGUAACUGCUCGGCUGAAAACCCGCAUAGAGAAGCGCACAUUACCUGCCCAACAUGUGGGUACGAGUGCAAACUGUCUGCCGACGGUGUUUUCGCUCUUCCGCUGCACGGACUUCUUCAGAGCCGGAUCUUGGCCCAACAAGAGGACAUCGCUAUCGAACUAUGCCAAGCAGAUGCCGUGGAAACGUGUCAUAUUCACCCUGGAAGAGAGCUGAUCAUGUUCUGCACCCGGUGCAACCAGCUCGCGUGUCGCGACUGCUGGAUCCUUAUUCACCGCGGCCACUCCUGCGACACGGUCAACCACUUCAUGACCGUCUCCAUUCCCAGAAUCAACGAGGCCAUCAUGAAAACCAAAACAGUUCACAAAGAGGUCGCACUCAGCCUUAGCAGGCUCCAGAGCCUCGAGGAACGGAUACAGGUGAGCCCCAGAUGAAAAUUGGGAAUGAGUCAGUUAAGUCAUUUUUUUUAUUGUGUCAUUCGAAAGUAGUAAGUGACCGAAGCUUACGGUUUUUUUCCUAAAUUUUUUUGAUGACUGAAAACGGGAGAAAAGUUUAUUUGAAAGUGUCAAAAUUAGGGUGGCCUAAAACGGCGUUUGAACUGCGCGCUCGUAGGUUUUGCAUGUAAACGUCACGAUCAAUAUGGCGGCGGAAUGCGUAGUGGAAGAAUACACGGCGGCGUCACGUUGGCGGUUGUGUUUUUGUUGGUCAAUUAGAGGUUAUGUAGGUACUUUGUUUGAGAUUCAAAUUCAUUGUUCUUAAUUCUCUAAGGUUUUCAACUAGUAUGCGAUACAGAUGUAUGUAGGAUAUGAAACAUUCACAUAGAACUUACUUAACCUCAAACGAGAAAUCGUGAUGUCAACAACGGCGGCGUGGCGGUAGUAAGCAGGUCGGCUUCUGCGCCGCCAUCUUCCCGUCUAUGACGCGUAGCGGCAAAUAUUCACGGCGGUCGGUUCGAACAUGUUUUCAAGGACCCCUAGAAAGGAAGCGUUAUAUCUCCGCGGAGACAUAUUUCGUGAAAUUUUUAACGUGCGCAUCGUUCUUCUCGUACCGAAAACUGUAAGAUUCGACUAUUUGCAGGCAAAUCCCUCCCGAGCUUAACUGACUCAUUAUGUGCAUUAAGACAUGAGCCCUGAGACCCUUAUGCAUAACAGGGCUCAGUCAUAAUGCACAUAGUUCUGUUUGGCAGAAAUACGUCCAAUUGAAAUGAUGCGAAUAUGCUUUGAUUGUAUCGAUGAGAUGAAAAACUUAAACCACGUGUUUUAUCAGGAUGUUGUCUCCAAAAUUCCCACCAAUUUACGAACGAUUAUAUGGUUCAAGGCGUAUGCUUUUGACGAUAAGUCCUUAUGUUAUUAUCAUACAGGGCGUCGGAAAAGUCCCUGAUCUCCUCACCCUUCGGUGCUAACCUAUAAGAACAUGUCAUAAGCGUAGCCAUUUUUUGGGUAAUGGCGAAACCGGGCAAUCGGGGAGGGGGGGGGGGGUCCUAGGUAUGCACGGCUCAAAGAUACGUUAUGGGAAUCUCCUCAGAGAAUUUUUGAAAUUUCACCCAAUGUUCCCAAAAAUGUCCAUCAAUCUCUAAUUGGACGCUCGUUUUGGCAAUAAGUCCGAACCGCAUGUCCAUACCAAACGAACUGCUCGUUUAAUAUCUUACAUAGUGCGUAUCGUUCUCAACUCUCAUAAUUCGUCGCCCUCCUAAUAUCAUGGCAUAAGUAUACCCUCGGCAAUGAUCCUGUUGUCCGUACAAUUUAAUGCUUCUCCGUGCUCAUCUUAAUGUGCAGUUACGUCAUUUUGUUAGCCGGGCAACGAAUUUCACGCGCUACAUUACUGAACG
rnacentral:lncRNA from 1 species